CCUACGGGGGGCAGCAGUGGGGAAUAUUGGACAAUGGGGGGAACCCUGAUCCAGCCAUGCCGCGUGUGUGAAGAAGGCCCUCGGGUUGUAAAGCACUUUCAGUGAGGAAGAACGCCUUGUGGUUAAUACCCAUCAGGAAAGACAUCACUCACAGAAGAAGCACCGGCUAACUCCGUGCCAGCAGCCGCGGUAAUACGGAGGGUGCGAGCGUUAAUCGGAAUUACUGGGCGUAAAGCGCGCGUAGGUGGCUUGAUAAGCCGGUUGUGAAAGCCCCGGGCUCAACCUGGGAACGGCAUCCGGAACUGUCAAGCUAGAGUGCAGGAGAGGAAGGUAGAAUUCCCGGUGUAGCGGUGAAAUGCGUAGAGAUCGGGAGGAAUACCAGUGGCGAAGGCGGCCUUCUGGACUGACACUGACACUGAGGUGCGAAAGCGUGGGUAGCAAACAGGAUUAGAUACCCUUGUAGUC
rnacentral:rRNA from 1 species